CCGCCUCCGCCCCUUCUGUUCUCCCAACAAGCGUCUGCCUCAUUUCCACCCGCCCGCUUUUCACCCGUCAAUAUGCACCGUCAAUGCUGACCAGGCGGCGCCGCCUCCUUCGCCUUCUCCAAAUGAAACCGCCAUUUCUUCCCGUCUGUCCUCUUGCACCACCCGGGCUCCAGAUCUCCUUUUCUGCUGUAUCUACUACCGCCUGAAACAAUUUAUGAGUUCAGUUAAUAAUAUGCAGAGAUUGGAUGUGGAAUGGUAUGGGAGAAUGAAAAAUAUUUAUAUAUGUGCAUUUACAGGGGAAAGAGAAGAUGAGGCGGCACAGGAACACAGGAAAUCAUGCAUGUGUAGAUCAUAGCUUGUCUCUCCAGUUCGUUCCAUUGUGCACCUGUGAAUGCAACUUCUCC
rnacentral:lncRNA from 1 species